rnacentral:rRNA from 1 species
AGAGUUUGAUCAUGGCUCAGGAUGAACGCUGGCGGCAGGCUUAAUACAUGCAAGUCGAACGGUAACAGUACUAGCAAUAGUAGCUGACGAGUGGCGCACGGGUGCGUAACGCGUAUGCAACCUACCCAUAACCGGAACAAAACGUUGAGAAAUUGGCGCUAAUAUUCCAUGUGUAUUUUCUAUGGCAUCAUAAAAAAUAUAAAGAACUUUGGUUAUAGAUGGGCAUGCGUAUCAUUAGCUAGUUGGGGAGGUAACGGCUCACCAAGGCGACGAUGAUUAGGGGUUCUGAGAGGAAAAACCCCCACACUGGAACUGAGACACGGUCCAGACUCCUACGGGAGGCAGCAGUAGGGAAUAUUGGGCAAUGGAAGGAAUUCUGACCCAGCCAUGCCGCGCGCAGGAAUACAGUCCUAUGGACUUUAAACUGCUUUUAUUAUAGAGUAACCUGGGGGACGAGUCCCCCACUGCAAGUAUAUAAUGAAUAAGCAUCGGCUAACUCCGUGCCAGCAGCCGCGGUAAUACGGGGGAUGCAAGCGUUAUCCGGAUUUAUUGGGUUUAAAGGGUGCGCAGGCUGAUCGGUAAGUCAUGGGUGAAA